UACGAGAGGCCCAAACGUUAUUCGGAAUUACUGGGCUUAAAGAGUUCGUAGGCGGCAUGACAAGUAGGGGGUGAAAGCCCUCGGCUCAACCGAGGAAUUGCGCUCUAAACUGUCGUGCUAGAGGAACCUAGAGGUGAGCAGAACUGAUGGUGGAGCGGUGAAAUGCGUUGAUAUCAUCAGGAAUACCGGAGGCGAAGGCGGCUCACUGGGGGUUUUCUGACGCUGAGGAACGAAAGCCAGGGGAGCGAACGGG
rnacentral:rRNA from 1 species